rnacentral:tRNA from 1 species
UAGUUGGUCUAGUGGUAUGAUGCUCGCCUGCCACGCGUGACCCGGGUUCGAUUCCCGACCCGGGUUCGAUUCCCGGAUU